GUGAGUGAAGUGAGUCAGUUACCUCUGCCUCACGAACUGCUGCUCCUUGGCGAAGUAAUUAUUCCGACUUUGUUUUGGUUUCUGAUUUGUUGAAUGUUUGAGUUCUCGAGAAAUUGAGGCGCGUGAUCGGACUUACUCGUCAUUGUAAAGCAUUUUCAUGCCUUAAUGUUGUAAAAUUAACACUUCGACGUGCUUCUCUCGACGGCGUUUCAAGAGCAAGCUGCGUUGGGCCUACAAGGGCAAGAAGAAGAGCAAAAGCGAGGCGAAAGUCUAAUCUGCGGGCGACUUCUCAGGAUUUCUUCUCCUGUGUCUAUACUUCGGUCCUCAAAGAUUGUGUCUGAAACGAUGAUCCAGUUGGAGGGAAAGGUCUGCACUGUCAUGUUCUAAAGAGGGGUCAUUACCUAAUACCUUGACUUGUUCGUUCAAAAUGUUCUUUUGGACUUGUACGUUAAUUGUUGUCGCACACUUAUUAAACGAUGCACGUAAGCUGUUCGAUGAGAUGCCCAAGAAGAUACAAUCUCGUUCGUUACUUUAAUCCAAGGGCAGACACAUUGGUUUAGAUACUUGGAGGUUAUAGAGUUGUUCCACCCCUUAAAUAGAGAAGGGCAUUAGAAUCCAUUGCAAUGUGUUCAAGGUUGGUUUGAACUUGGAUGUUUGUGUUUCGAAUGCACUCAUCAAUGUCUAUGUUAAAUGUGGGAGGAUGGAGAGCUCUAUGAAACUAUUUUUUCAAGUCACUAAUUAGAAAUGUUAGUUGGAAUACAAUGAUUGGUGGUUAUGUAUAGGUAGAGGAUGAAGAGAAGGCAUUGGAUUUGUUCGUAAAUAUGCUCAAAUGCCAGGCCCAGCUUGCAGAAGUCAUGUACUCUAGCAUUCUUCGUGCUUGUGCUAGUUUAGCUGCGUUGGAGUCAUGCAUUCAAAUUCAUUUAUUGACUGUGAAGAGCAAUUAUAACAAUAGCGUUGUGGUCGGAAAUUCUUUAAUUGAUGUGUAUGCUAAGUGUGGAAGCAUUAAAGAUGCUCAACUUGUCUCUGACAUGAUGAGUGAAAGAGGGGUUUUCAUGGAACGCUAUGAUCUCUGGGUGUUCAAUGUUUGGUGUGGUUGCGGAGGCUCUGAAAUUUUUUGAAGUGAUGCUGAAAACAGAGUGUAGACCAAACAAGGUAACUCUUGUUGGUGCCCUAUCUGGGUGCAGCAAUGGCAUACUAUUAGAUAAGGUUCAGGCUUAUUUUAAAUCCAUGGUACAUGACUAUGGUGGUGAACCAUGUAUAGAACACUACUCUUAUAUGGUGUGGCUUUUCAGCAGUUCAGUCCAUCUCGAGAAGGCUGUGAGUGACUGUGACGUUGAUUAAUGAAAUCCUUUCUGAGCCAAGUGUUAUGUUGCGGCGUGCCUUGCUUGGGGCAUGUGUUAUUCAUAAAAAUAUCGAGUUAGGAAGAAUUUCUGCUCAGCUUUCCAAAAACAUUGCAGCUAUUGGGUGCUACUGGUGAUUUCACAAGUUUUGACAUUCUCGGAAGGCUGAAGUUUCCACCUUGUUGAGAAGGACAUUAUUACUAUAGUUUUGCAUUGGGAGCAGUCUUAAAUUGUUGUCCUGCUAAGAUACAAUAUGUUGUUACUUUUCCAGGAUAACAACAACUCAACUUACAGGGCAGAGGAUGUGGUAUUUGUUGGUAAAGUUGUGUUGCAAGGGUGAGAAGAAGGGAUUUGCAGGAAGCCGAGGCUUUCGCAUGGACUGCUUCGAAGGUCCUGAAUAUAGCCUAGUUACAGGUUGGUUUAGCUUAUGAUGUCCGGAGGUAAUAUACGAACGAGAAUCAUUGCUUACUUCCGUAUAUUAGUCAUUUAGUUUACCUACCUUUAUCUUCCCCAUUUUUGCAUUAACAUCACUAUCAAGUCCCUUUCAUUUACUUAAUUUUGUCAUUUGAUUUCUUACUAACAUACCCCAUGCUUUCAUUCUUACGAUUAACAGUUACUCACUGGACGCAGGCAGUGUAACAACAACUUAUGACGGAGCGACGUUGGCACUUCAGCACUGGUUGGCAUCGCCAUCCUGAGGCCAAGGAAGAACCUUCAUUAUUUUUGGCUGGAAAUAGAAGACAAUGAACUACAAUACUUUGUUCUCUUUGCUUGGGCAUGUAAAGUGGCAUGGUUUAGAAAAUGAACUGCCAAAAACUAGGUAGAGGUAGAUGGGCUGCACAAAACUGGCCCAUGUCAGGUGGGGUCCAACAUUAUACAGUGUCAUUGUUCUUUGACCAAGAACCUGGCAUAUUAAAAUGGAGAAGAAUCUUUGCUUGUCUUGGUCA